UACAGGUGGUGCAUGGCUGUCGUCAGCUCGUGUCGUGAGAUGUUGGGUUAAGUCCCGCAACGAGCGCAACCCUAUCUUAUGUUGCCAGCACGUUAUGUGGGGACUCGUAAGAGACUGCCGGGGUCGAACUCGGAGGAAGGUGGGGACGACGUCAAGUCAUCAUGCCCCUUAUGUCCAGGGCUUCACACAUGCUACAAUGGCCAGUACAGAGGGCUGCGAGACCGUGAGGUGGAGCGAAUCCCUUAAGGCUGGUCUCAGUUCGGAUCGGGGUCUGCAACUCGACCCCGUGAAGUCGGAGUCGCUAGUAAUCGCAGAUCAGCAACGCUGCGGUGAAUACGUUCCCGGGCCUU
rnacentral:rRNA from 1 species